AGAUGAAUCAGAACAAACACAAGGUAUGUGUUUGUCUUGAACGAUCUGCCCUCCUCCAAUGUUCCGCUCUGUUUGUGUGUGUGUGUGUGUGUGGGGGGGGGGGGGGGGGGUCGGUUUCGGUUUCCUUUCUCAAGAAAUAUCCGCCCGCUAAGUUAUUAAGGCAAGCUCUCACCAGCAAGAGCGUCAGUGCAAAGCAAGAGCAUCACGAAUUGCUUGGGUAGUCGAUUAAGAUGGACCCAUUGACGCUUAUUGGAGCUGGUGUAGGAGCAGUCUUAACAGUCGCUGCAGCUCCUGCUGUUCUAACAGCUGCAGGUUUCACAGGCGCAGGAAUUGCUGCAGGUUCUGUUGCCUCCUCUUUGAUGUCAGGUGCUGCU